CCGCCCGUGACUNGGCGAGAAGUCCAUUGAACCUUAUCAUUUAGAGGAAGGAGAAGUCGUAACAAGGUUUCCGUAGGUGAACCUGCGGAAGGAUCAUUG
rnacentral:rRNA from 1 species